rnacentral:rRNA from 1 species
UGAGGAACAUGACCUUCGGCGGGGGAUAGCCGGCCCAACGGCCGGGUAAUACCGCGUACGACCACAUGGGGACAUCCCUGAGUGGUGAAAGCAGCAAUGCGCCGAUGGAGUGCCCCGCGGCCUAUCAGCUAGUUGGUGAGGUAACGGCUCACCAAGGCGACGACGGGUAGCUGGU